rnacentral:rRNA from 1 species
GAACGAGAAAGUGGGAGCAAUCCCAUGAGUAAAGUGGCGUACGGGUGAGUAACACGUGACUAACCUACCCUGGAGUGGGGGAUAACUGAGGGAAACCUUAGCUAAUACCGCAUAAUACCCACGGGUCAAAGGAGCAAUUCGCUCUAGGAGGGGGUCGCGGCCGAUUAGUUAGUUGGCAGGGUAACGGCCUACCAAGACGAUGAUCGGUAUCCGGCCUGAGAGGGCGCACGGACACACUGGAACUGAAACACGGUCCAGACUCCUACGGGAGGCAGCAGUGGGGAAUUUUGCGCAAUGGGGGAAACCCUGACGCAGCAACGCCGCGUGGAGGAUGAAGUCCUUCGGGACGUAAACUCCUUUCGAUCGGGACGAUUAUGACGGUACCGGAAGAAGAAGCCCCGGCUAACUUCGUGCCAGCAGCCGCGGUAAUACGAGGGGGGCGAGCGUUGUUCGGAAUUAUUGGGCGUAAAGGGUGCGUAGGCGGUUUGGUAAGUCUCAUGUGAAAUCUAUGGGCUCAACUCAUAGACUGCAUGAGAAACUGCCGGGCUUGAGUGUGGGAGAGGUGAGUGGAAUUCCCGGUGUAGCGGUGAAAUGCGUAAAUAUCGGGAGGAACACCUGUGGCGAAAGCGGCUCACUGGACCACAACUG